AAUACAGAUUUUUCGCCUAUAAAUGUAACGAACACACGCUAAAGAUUACUAUUUUUUCUCUGGUACAUAGCAAGUUGAGAAAAUGGGUAGGCUUUUUGUGUUAACUCUUGAAGGACGCAUCUACAAAUGCAAACACUGUCAAACCCAUUUUGCUUUGGCUGAUCACAUUAUUUCUAAGUCAUUCCACUGCAGUCAUGGGAGAGCUUACCUCUUUGAUAAAGUCGUGAACGU
rnacentral:misc_RNA from 1 species